CUGCAGCAGCUUGGGUCACAACCAUGGCUCAGUUUUGAUACCUGGCCCAGGAACUUCCACAUGCUGCAGGCCCAGCCCCCCCGCCCCCCCAAAAAAAGAAAGCAAAGAAGAAACCAAAACUUAUGCAAAGAGGCUUACAGAUGACAUAUCUAAUCCCAUAGCCAUGUGAUCCUAAAAAGAAAUGUAAAGGGAAUUGAGUGGGAAUUUUUCAAAGAUGAUUUUAGUAAGAUGUGAUGAACAAAACCUGGAGUAUUAUGAACUAUGGAUGAAAAUGUUGCUAGGGCAUUUUUAGAAACCGAAUUCUAAAUAUAACUACUCUUUGAAAAAGAUUUUUAUCAACUCUUAGUCUUUUAUGUGUCAAAACCUCUGUUUUUAACACAUAAAUUUUGGCAAUUUCAGUUUCAGAAAAUGAAGAAAUCAUAAAAAUGAAAAAUUGGUUGUUUUAAGAAAAGUCAUUAUUUCUGCAUUCUGUACUUGUGACAUCAAGUUUAUGAACUGUGGUUCACUAGAAACACUUAUGAACUCAUAAGAAAUAUGUAACCCUAACCCCAACCUUAACCCUAAUCCUAACCCUAAUAUAUGUGCGUAUGUAUAUAUUUAUAUGAUAUAUAAUAUAUGUAUUUUUCAGACACUCUCCUGGCAUAUGGAAGUCCCCUGGCCAGGGAUCCGAGCAGCACAACAGACCUACACAACAGACACAGUAACACUAGAUCCUUAACCCAUUGUACCAGGCAGGAGGUGAAACCCACAGCUCUGCAGAGAUAACAUCAGAUCCUUGACUUGCUGCACCACAGUGGGAACGCCAAAAAAAUAAUAUUUUUAAGAAAGACAAAUAAGUGUCUAGAUAGGAAAAAAUAACUUUGCUUAAUUUAUUUUUCCAAGUCUGAGCAAGAAAAGGAAGAAUUACAGCAACUUAUGGAGUUAAAACAGUUUCUGGAAAGCCAGUUGGAUCGGCAAAAGAAGAAAAAUGAUGGAUUAGAAAAAGAGAUUACUGGAUUGAAGGAAUGCUUGGAAAUGGCAAGAAGGGAAGUAAAUGAAAAUGAAAAAGGAGAGCCUAGUGCCCAUGGUGUUGUAAAAAUCAAUCCAACUGAAAUGGAUAUUCAGAUAGAUACGCUAAAACAUAAGGUAAUUUGUAUUCAGUUUUGGGGCCCAAAAACUCUUAAUUUGGGGAAUUAUAAGUCACUCGGUACUUUGAGCAGUGAACCACAGAUUUUCCCUUCAAUCUUAUAGAUGUAGUAUGAGUAAGACAGACACCUUUUUUCCUAUGCAAAAGAGCACACUGUUAAUUCUCUUCUGUCUUGAAUGCUGGCCAGUGCUGUGAAGUUGAACAGCACACCAUUCUUGACCCCAAAGCAUCAGCCAUUUUUUGGUGACAGCUUUAUUGAAAUAUAAAAUAUUCAUUUAAAUUGUACAUUCAGUGACAUUUAGUGUAUUCCUAGAGUUAUACAGUUGUCAAAUCAAUUUUAGAACAUUGUCAUCACCCAGCAAAGACACCCUAUAUCUUCUAGCCAACACCCUGUGCCAGCGUCCCCUUCCCCACUCUUCCCAAACCUGGGGAACCACGACUCUCUUCCCUGUCUCUGUAAGAGGAUCUGCCUUUUCUGGGUGUUUCAUAUCAAUAGAAUCUCACAAGGUGGGGUCUUUUGUAACUGCCUUCUUUCAUUAAGCAUGUUUUCAAGGUGCAUUGAUUUUGUAGCAAGUUAUUAGCACGUCCUUUCUUUUUAUUGCUGAAUAUUACAGCAUUUUAGGGACAGACCAUAUUUAUUUAUCCAUUCAUCGGGUGCUAGACCUUUGAGGUGUUUCCACUUUUUGGCUAUUGUUAAUAAUGCCAGUGUGAACAUUUAUAACAUAAUACCAGGUUUUAGUAUAAAUGCAUGUUUUCCUUCCUUUUGGGAAUAUUCUCAUGACUGGUCUUGCUGUAUCAUGUGGUAAUUGUUUAGCUUUUUGCGGAACUGCCAUACUGCUUUUCAGAGUGGCUGCACCAUUUUACUUUUUUUUUU
rnacentral:lncRNA from 1 species